GACGAACGCUGGCGGCGUGCUUAACACAUGCAAGUCGAACGAAGUGGCGAACGGGUGAGUAACGCGUAAUCAACCUGCCCUUCAGAGGGGGACAACAGUUGGAAACGACUGCUAAUACCGCAUACUGAAGGAGGGGAUUGCGUCUGAUUCGGUAGUUGGAGGGGUAACGGCCCACCAAGGCGAUGAUCAGUAGCCGGUCUGAGGGGAUGAACGGCCCCAUUGGGACUGGGGACCGGCCCAGACUCCUACGGGGGGGAGGAGUGGGGAAUCUUCCGAAAUGGACGAAAGUCUGACGGCGCAACGCCGGGGGGGUGAUGACGGGCUUCGGGUUGUAAAGCUCUGUUAAGCGGGACGCGGUACCGGAAUAGAAAGCCACGGCUAACUACGUGCCAGCCGCCGCGGUAAUUC
rnacentral:rRNA from 1 species